rnacentral:lncRNA from 1 species
GGGUUUCUCCGUUGUUUGAAGGCCGAUCUUCUCCGGUCGCGAAGAAGGAGGGUAACUCUGUCCUUAUCUUCGGCAUUAUAUGUGAUUAUUUGACUCUGUUCUUGUGAGCAUCUGGUGUUGUUUGUGAAUAUUUGACCUGACUGUAGUCUGUUUGUUGGUUGUUGUGUUUGAAUACCUGUUUUGGUAGUAUUAUGUUUGUUGAAAAGUUGUUCAUUUAAGCCGGUUCUUUAACUAUGGCUUCUAGCACAAACAUUGGUCCCUCUCCUGCUGUAGACUCUUCUAAUCCCCUUUUUGUGUACUCGUCUGAUGUCCCUGGGGUAUCACUUGUUCCUACUCCCUUCUCGGGUAGUUGUUAUNNNNN